rnacentral:rRNA from 1 species
GAUGAACGCUGACAGAAUGCUUAACACAUGCAAGUCUUUGGCGAAGCUGUGCUUGCACAGCCUAGCCAAGGCGGACGGGUGAGUAACGCGUAAGGAACUUGCCCUGCAGUCAGGGAUAACAGACGGAAACGACUGAUAAGACCUGGUAAAGUCAGGCGGACUCAUGUCCAGCCUGAUGAAAAGAGAUGCUGCAGGAGAGCCUUGCGUCCUAUUAGCUUGUUGGUGGGGUAACGGCCCACCAAGGCGAUGAUAGGUAGCCGGCCUGAGAGGGUGGACGGCCACAAGGGGACUGAGAUACGGCCAUUACUCCUACGGGAGGCAGCAGUGGGGAAUAUUGGACAAUGGGGGCAACCCUGAUCCAGCAAUUCUGUGUGCACGAUGAAGGUUUUCGGAUUGUAAAGUGCUUUCAGCAGGGAAGAAAAAAAUGACGGUACCUGCAGAAGAAGCGACGGCUAAAUACGU